CCGAGCCGAGAAGAGGCGGGGCUUGAGGGGAGCGGGGAAAACGUUUGGGAACGUUCCGGUAAGAGUUCCUGGCUGGAACCACUGACUUCCUGGCGAUCCCCAACAGGUUCCACAGCAGAUUGGGGAGAGGUCCUCAGCUCCAUGGCCCCUCUCACAGCCACAGUCUGCUCUCUGGAAUUUGCAAAGGAGGCCUGAGGGCUCCAUGGACUCCUGGAUUUCAGCAAGGCCUCUAAGCUCUGUGUGUUCCUGAUGCAUGUACCUCCGUAAAAUGGACUUAAGAGGAAGGAGCCCAGAGAGCUCAGUCUUCUUGCUGAAGAGAGAAGCAAGUUGAAAAGAGAAGAAAUGAAUAGCUCCUCCACCUCUUCUCUGAGGAAGUUGCCUGCAAUCAAUCCUGCUAGAAUGAGCAGCAGCUACAAAUGGGUCUGCUUUCUUGAAUUCACUGGCUGUACCCACAGUCCACGCUGCAGUAGUUGAAGCAAUCUUCCUUUCAAGAUAUUGAUUUCCUAUGGAAUUGUCAUUUGAAAUGAUGGAUCUGCAGUUGGGUUGGGACCUGGAGGAAAGAUAGUUGUGUUUGUGUUGCAGGCAUGAAUCUUGACAGGCUUUGUCCUCCACACAAAGGACAAAAGGAAAGGAAAGAAAUUAUUAGAGUUGGGAGAAAGAUUAAGGAAAAUACCUUAAUCAUCUUCCAGUUUUACAGGCUAAUUUCUAAUACUUAGGACAAAGUUAUUUAUGAGUCCAUCAUUUCACAGUAGUUGAAGUUAUUUUAUUGUUCCUAAAGCCAAAGCAGUAAGGCUUAAUGGUUAUUUACUUUUCAACAGAAAUGCAGACACUUUUACUUUUUGGCUAGAGUAUUCAUUGGUAGUAAUUUUCUAUUUCUCAGAGGAAGUCUGAAGAUUUUUAGGUCACAGUGAUAACAGUCCUUUCUUCAUAGGUCAUAUUUCCUGGAGCCCUGCAGCCUUCUGUUUAGGAAGGGCCUGAUAUCUGAUUGUUUCUUUCCAUCCUAAGAUAUUGGACCUUACUCUCUUCUUUCCACCCUUCCUUCUGUUACCUUCUUUUAUGUAAUGUACGUUUCAUAUAACAUGGAUCUCUUUUCUCUCUAAUAUGGCAUUACUUUCUUCCUGCCACACUUUGACGCAAGUUAUUUCAUCCUUCUCUCAUAAUCUGUUUUUCCUUUAUGCUUUAUUUUUUACUUUAGAAACAACCCAGCCUCAUUGGUUUGGGGUUCACUAUUCAGGCUGAUUAUUUGCUUGACAUAAAUCCCUUUCCUAUUAUUCUAGA